AGUGAACGCUGGCGGUAGGCCUAACACAUGCAAGUCGAACGGCAGCACAGUAAGAGCUUGCUCUUACGGGUGGCGAGUGGCGGACGGGUGAGGAAUACAUCGGAAUCUACUUUUUCGUGGGGGAUAACGUAGGGAAACUUACGCUAAUACCGCAUACGACCUACGGGUGAAAGCAGGGGAUCUUCGGACCUUGCGCGAUUGAAUGAGCCGAUGUCGGAUUAGCUAGUUGGCGGGGUAAAGGCCCACCAAGGCGACGAUCCGUAGCUGGUCUGAGAGGAUGAUCAGCCACACUGGAACUGAGACACGGUCCAGACUCCUACGGGAGGCAGCAGUGGGGAAUAUUGGACAAUGGGCGCAAGCCUGAUCCAGCCAUACCGCGUGGGUGAAGAAGGCCUUCGGGUUGUAAAGCCCUUUUUGUUGGGAAAGAAAAGCAGCAGGUUAAUACCCCGCUGUUCUGACGGUACCCAAAGAGUAAGCACCGGCUAACUUCGUG
rnacentral:rRNA from 1 species